CUAUAUGCUCUGAUGAACCUAU
rnacentral:miRNA from 1 species